rnacentral:lncRNA from 1 species
AAAAGAAAUGGUUUCUGGACAGAGGUGGCCACAUGAAAGGACAGGAGGGAGGCCUCCAGGAGCUAAAUGUGGCCCCCAGCUGAAGCCCAGCCUGCAACCACAAGGAACUGGAUUCUGCCAGCAACCUGAAUGCACUUAGAAGCGGUUUCUCUCUGGAGCCUCCUGAUAGGAGCCCAGCCAGCCAACACCUUGAUUUUGGCCUUGUGAGACCUAGAGCAGAGAAACCUUCUAAGCCAUUCGUGACUUCUGACCUUCAGGACUAUGAUGAUAAAUGUGUGUUAUUUUGAGCUGUUAAUUUGUGAUAAUUUGUUGUAGCAGCAGUUGAAAACUUGAAGCUUAGUCUGCAGAAAGUCUAAGGAUGGAUAAAAAUGAAUGAAGACCCUCAAAGCCGUGCCCCCACCUUAUUAUUCUCCUCUGGGUUCUCCUAACCCUAAUUCUAACCCUAUCUUCUUUUUUUUUUUUUAUACUUUAAGUUCUAGGGUAUGUGAUCACAACUUGCAGGUUUGUUACAUAUGUAUACACGUGCGAUGUUGGUGUGCUGCACCCAUUAACUCGUCAUUUACAUUAGGUAUAUCACCUAAUGCUAUCCCUCCCCUCUCCCCACCAACCCCACAAUAGGCCCCAGUGUGUGAUGUUCCCCUUCCUGUGUCCAAGUGUUCUCAUUGUUCAAUUCCCACCUAUAAGUGAGAACAUGCGGUGUUUGGUUUUUUGUCCUUGUGAUAGUUUGUUGAGAAUGAUGGUUUCCAGUUUCAUCCAUGUCCCUACAAAGGACAUGAACUCAUCCUUUUUUAUGGCUGCAUAGUAUUCCAUGGUGUAUAUGUGCCACAUUUUCUUAAUCCAGUCUAUCAUUGAUGGACAUUUGGGUUGAUUCCAAGUCUUUGCUGUUGUGAAUAGUGCUGCAAUAAACGUAUGUGUGCAUAUGUCUUUAUAGCAGCAUGAUUUAUAAUCCUUUGGGUAUAUACCCAGUAAUGGGAUUGCUGGGUCAAAUGAUAUUUCUAGUUCUAGAUCCUUGAGAAAUAGCCACACUGUCUUCCACAAUGGUUGAACUAGUUUAUAGACCCACCAACAGUGUAAAGGUGUUCCUAUUUCUCCACAUCCUCUCCAGCACCUGUUGUUUCCUGACUUUUUAAUGAUCGCCA